CAGAGGUCCCAAGCGUUGUUCGGAUUCACUGGGCGUAAAGGGUGCGUAGGUGGUGAGGUAAGUCGGAUGUGAAAGCUCCGAGCUCAACUCGGAAAUGGCAUUGGAAACUACCUUGCUCGAGGGUUUGAGGGGGACUGGAAUACUUGGUGUAGCAGUGAAAUGCGUAGAUAUCAAGUAGAACACCAGUGGCGAAGGCGAGUCCCUGGAAAACUCCUGACACUGAGGCACGAAAGCUAGGGGAGCAAACAGGAUUAGAUACCCUGGUAGUCCUAGCCGUAAACGGUGCGUAUUUGCUGUAAAAGGAAUCGACCCCUUUUGUGGCGUAGCCAACGCGUUAAAUACGCCGCCUGGGAAGUACGGUCGCAAGAUUA
rnacentral:rRNA from 1 species